rnacentral:rRNA from 1 species
UACGUAGGGUGCAAGCGUUAUCCGGAAUUAUUGGGCGUAAAGGGGGCGUAGAUGGCCUGAUAAGUUAGCAGUGGGAAAUCGAGGCUCAACCUCGUGGAAGCUGGUAAUACUGUCAGGCUCGAGUGCAGGAGAGGUUAACGGAACUCCAUGUGGAGCGGUAAAAUGUGUAGAUAUUCGGAAGAACACCAGUGGCGAAGGCAGCGAAUUGGCGCUUUAUCGACGCUCAGGCACGAAAGCAUGGGGAUCAAACAGG